rnacentral:rRNA from 1 species
AUUGAACGCUGGCGGCAGGCCUAACACAUGCAAGUCGAGCGGAUGAGUGGAGCUUGCUCCAUGAUUCAGCGGCGGACGGGUGAGUAAUGCCUAGGAAUCUGCCUGGUAGUGGUGGACAACGUUUCGAAAGGAACGCUAAUACCGCAUACGUCCUACGGGAGAAAGCAGGGGACCUUCCGGCCUUGCGCUAUCAGAUGAGCCUAGGUCGGAUUAGCUAGUAGGUGAGGUAAUGGCUCACCUAGGCGACGAUCCGUAACUGGUCUGAGAGGAUGAUCAGUCACACUGGAACUGAGACACGGUCCAGACUCCUACGGGAGGCAGCAGUGGGGAAUAUUGGACAAUGGGCGAAAGCCUGAUCCAGCCAUGCCGCGUGUGUGAAGAAGGUCUUCGGAUUGUAAAGCACUUUAAGUUGGGAGGAAGGGUUGUAGAUUAAUACUCUGCAAUUUUGACGUUACCGACAGAAUAAGCACCGGCUAACUCUGUGCCAGCCGCCGCAGUAAUAC